rnacentral:rRNA from 1 species
ACGGGUGAGUAACACGUGGGUGAUCUGCCCUGCACUUCGGGAUAAGCCUGGGAAACUGGGUCUAAUACCGGAUAUGACCUCAGGUUGCAUGACUUGGGGUGGAAAGAUUUAUCGGUGCAGGAUGGGCCCGCGGCCUAUCAGCUUGUUGGUGGGGUAAUGGCCUACCAAGGCGACGACGGGUGGCCGACCUGAGAGGGUGACCGGCCACACUGGGACUGAGACACGGCCCAGACUCCUACGGGAGGCAGCAGUGGGGAAUAUUGCACAAUGGGCGAAAGCCUGAUGCAGCGACGCCGCGUGAGGGAUGACGGCCUUCGGGUUGUAAACCUCUUUCAGCAGGGACGAAGCGCAAGUGACGGUACCUGCAGAAGAAGCACCGGCUAACUACGUGCCAGCAGCCGCGGUAAUACGUAGGGUGCAAGCGUUGUCCGGAAUUACUGGGCGUAAAGAGUUCGUAGGCGGUUUGUCGCGUCGUUUGUGAAAACCAGCAGCUCAACUGCUGGCUUGCAGGCGAUACGGGCAGACUUGAGUACUGCAGGGGAGACUGGAAUUCCUGGUGUAGCGGUGAAAUGCGCAGA